CUCGGGAUAAGAAUUACCAUUGCUGGCCGGAGCCCUUUGUACAUAUAAAGUGCUUUGAAGCCAUUUCCUUGCUAAUUUCAGACUGAUCCUCCGAGGCAGGUGGGCGGCGAGAGUUAUGCUUUUCUCAUUGAUUUCAGCACAAAGAAAAAAGGCAUAACCUACUUUUGCGAAGUAAAAAGAAAACUACAAGAAAAGCCUCCGCAAAUUGUCCCGCAUCGGCAUUUGUAGGGCUCGCUGCUUUCGCUCCCAGAAACAGAAAGUUCAAGACCUCUCCUAACUCAGAAAUGCCAGAUCCUCUCCCUUCUGUUUCUGUCAAGCCUUCUCUGGAGCAGAUCACUGACAUGCUGAACUAUACAAUCAGCCAGGGUCAGGCUUGGCUUACUUCAGCAGAUAUGGGUUGGUCCCUGAGAUUCCUGCCAUCUCUAAAAUUUGGGCUUCUGGAAGAGUUAAGCCUGAAAAAGAUCAUCAAAUCUGUUUUUAGAGAGGCAGAAAGAGGCUUAGGAGGUCCUGGGGGAGACCCCGGUGUGCAGGAGAGGGACUCAUUGGCUUUUGGAGAAGACGAAGUUUGUUCUUCUAUUCCCCCAGAAGAUUGACCAGCUUUGGGCUAUUUCUGGGUCCCCUUUUCUCCAGAAACAGAGCCCAAAGUUUUCUUUUCCUACCUAAUAUUCGUGUAGGGCUCUCUGCAAGGAGUGUUUAUUUUGUCUUUUGGGCCUUGUUCCCGAUGUAAGUUCUGUAUAUUUUCUGUUGGUAAUUAACUUCAUUGGUCUAUGUCAAUUUUGUCAGUAUUUACAUUAAAAUGUAAUUAGUAAUAAUAACUUUUAUGAUUUCCAUCCUCAAAGCAUAUUAGUCUACAAUAAGAUAUUUGCUGUCUGUGACAGAAAGUGUUUUAAAAGCCUUCAUUAUCCCAUAAUUUGAUAACAGUGUAUUCAUUAUUGAUAACACGGUGCAUGAAGAUUACAUACAGCAUCACUCAUGUGACCAAUAAGAAGCCUCCCAUUUCCAUAACAAUAAAGAAUUCAUGCCCCGUUCAUCCCACUCUCCGGCAUCCUAUGACCCAUUUAGGGCUCAUUGCAAAAAGCAUCAGAUUUAAAAAUUUA